rnacentral:tRNA from 2 species
UGGGAUGUGGUCUAAUGGCAAGACGCUGCGCUGUUAACGCAGAUGAUGAUGGUUCGAAUCCAUCCAUCCCAG